rnacentral:lncRNA from 7 species
CUUCUUUGCAGGUAGGUAGGACAUUUGUCUUAUUUUCACAGUGGGAAGCCCUCGGACAGUUCUGAUGAAACUCCAAGCCUGAAUGAAAUAAUCAGCCUUCAAAGCUAACCUCAAAUCAUGUCCUCAAUGUCACACAAAAGUUUUAAGGGAUGGAAUUUCAAGGUAAAUGCACUAUGUACUGUGUGAAAUAAAAUAAGCAUCAUGACUUGAAAUUCAUGGCAGUACAGAACACAGUGUGCAAGCUAGGAGAAUUUUUAACAACACAUAGAUGAGUGGACCAAGGAAAGAUCAGACCUCCAGAUAUUCAAGGCCAGUUGAAGAAAUAGUGCAACUCACACAGCGUUUCCACAAGAACAAGGACCAAGUGCAACCUGCAGGCAAAAGCUGUGGUUUGCACAAAGACAGAGUGGAGAACAAUUGGACAGGCAUCAACACUGAAUGAAGAAAAUUUUGGAGCCCACCUACCCUACUGUAGAGCCUUUGUGCUACAGCUCAGACUCAGACGUGAAAACAUAAAUGCCAUAAUGCAAAAGCACCGAAGUCUUCUACUGGAUCUGGCCCAAGGAUCUCUCAAUUCUUUCCACGUGUUUCCAUGUGCAAGACUUCUGCUGGUCUAAGCCACUUUCCCCUCCAUAAGCAACAACUUCAGCACACAGCAGAAAGCUGCACGGUAAACAAACAGAAACUGGAACAUAAUGCCAUCUUCAGAAAAAAAAGUGUGCACAUUAACAGUAAGGAAAAGCCCCAUACGGUUCCCAGAAAAGACCAUAUGAACCAGAAGAACUGGCUGUUGGGCCCAUGCAUCCUGUGUGUCCUUAUGCUUGGGACAAUGAUGGCCUUCUGGAAAUUUUCAGAAAUCUCUGUUUGGCUGAGGAUGGAGAAGUCAGAAAGGGUGCCAAAAUCUUUUCCCAUACCUGACCAGACUUUUUUCAGUCUGUGGAUAAGAUAAUGAAAGACAUGUGUUAUGGUGGCACUGACAUCUUUUGCACCCAGAAGGAACAAAAGACGGUUUCAUCUGUGCUGCUUAAAAGAGCCUUGUUACCAUAUUUCUUUGUCCCUUUUAUUGCAGUUUCUUACAGUGCUCCCAAGUUAAGGAAAUGGAACUAUCAUUUUGCAAACAAAUAGCUAAGGCAGUUGGCUAAAUACAUAGAUUUGCAAACUGAUAGAUGCAGUUGAGCAAAUAAUUGAAUGGCAGAUUUAAAAGCUCGAUUCUGGAAGUAUUAUUCACACAGUGACUUGGGUGACAGAAGUCCUUAUCUAAUAAAUAUGAAAGGAUUUUGCAUCUGAACUGUUCUUUGUGAUGGUAUGAGCUAGUCUAUAAGAAAUGUUAAAGAAAAUUCUUUCCUGUGUCCAAGUGCCCAACUCACUGUUUUCUCUUGCUGGUCUUGGUCAAGUGGCAUAAACAAGUCUUUCCUGAGACAAAGAAGAUGCUGCAGAUAACAUGGCUUGCUGUAGCUUUUAUUUAUGUCCUGUGCCAUGUCUGUCAUCCAUGCAGAUGAUCCAGGUACUGAAUCUUCUUGUAGUUGUCUUGAUUUCAUUAAAGCGAGAUGAGAGAAGAAAGUAUUUCUAGGGCAUUGCAUUCAAAGGUGAAAAUCCAAGGGCUGAUUCAGAUAUUGUUGUAUACACAUUUUACACCAUGUGAGAUUGCUGUUGUUAUCUAGAGUCUUCUGGGUUCUGGUAGAUAUGACAAAGCUUGAAUGUGAGACUUGUGCUCAUCUGGAGGCAGCUGGAGGCAAGGCUGGACAACUGAAUGUGUCAAAAUUGACUCAAAAUGCAUGUCUGAACAAAGGGUUCAUAUGCUAUGUCUGAGAAAAACAGUAAAAAAAAGCAAAGAGGCAUACUCUUAUCUACAUAUUUUUGUUAACAACAAAGGGGACCUAGAUGACUAGAUUAGAUUUAGCCAUCUGGAAUCGAGAUCACUCCCAACCUGAGAAUUAAGAGUUUUUUUAUAAUAGAUUAACAGUAAUGAUUUUAAAAAAGUAUCAGUUUACUUCUGAAAAUGCUUCCUGUACCAAGUAUACCAAAGAGAAUAUUUAUUUUAUAAGUCAAGAUCAGUAUUUAGCAUUAGGAAAAAGAAAUGCUUAAAAUGAACAGAAACCUGCAGAAGCUUACCAGUAAGCUUUACAUGCAUUAUUGCUGUCAUUAGUUGUGAGAUAGUACACAUCUUUGUUAAACAUACUUUUAUUUCUUUGUUUACAUAAUAAAAUGACAUGGUU